rnacentral:rRNA from 1 species
UACAGACGGUCCCAAGCGUUUGGUUCGGAUUCAUUGGGCGUAAAGGGUGCGUAGGCGGCGCGGUAAGUCGGGUGUGAAAUCUCGGGGCUUAACUCCGAAACUGCAUUCGAUACUGCCGUGCUUGAGGACUGGAGAGGAGACUGGAAUUUACGGUGUAGCGGUGAAAUGCGUAGAUAUCGUAAGGAAGACCAGUGGCGAAGGCGGGUCUCUGGACAGUUCCUGACGCUGAGGCACGAAGGCCAGGGGAGCAAACGGG